AUCUCUUCAGGCAGGGAGAACAGGCCACCUCCCGGCAGAAGACAGCAUUCACUGCCCACUGCAGAUGAGGAAUCUGGAGCCCAGGGAAGUAGAAUGAAGAACCUACAGUCUUGGGCAGGGACACAUUUCUCCCUUAAGCCUCUUGGUUCCAAUCUCACCUCUGGCUUUGUGCAGCAGACUGACCUGCUUCAUGGCCCUACAUUCUGGUAUUAUUGCUG